GGAGCUUUUCACACUAUGGUCAUGGCUGAACCAGCAAAAGAGAAGCAGAAUGCUAGGAAAGCAUUGUCGGAGAAACACAGAAAGAGGAAACGGCAGACUGACCAAGCGAGGAGUCAGACACAAGUUAACAUAGGAGCUGCAAAAUAUCUAUUCAGAAGCGGUAGGGGGAGUUCUAUAGAGAAA